GAUGAACGCUGGCGGCGUGCCUAACACAUGCAAGUCGAGCGAUUUACUUCGGUAAAGAGCGGCGGACGGGUGAGUAACGCGUGGGUAACCUGCCCUGUACACACGGAUAACAUACCGAAGGGUAUGCUAAUACGAGAUAAUAUACUUUUAUCGCAUGGUAGAAGUAUCAAAGCUUUUGCGGUACAGGAUGGACCCGCGUCUGAUUAGCUAGUUGGUAAGGUAACGGCUUACCAAGGCGACGAUCAGUAGCCGACCUGAGAGGGUGAUCGGCCACAUUGGAACUGAGACACGGUCCAAACUCCUACGGGAGGCAGCAGUGGGGAAUAUUGCACAAUGGGCGAAAGCCUGAUGCAGCAACGCCGCGUGAGCGAUGAAGGCCUUCGGGUCGUAAAGCUCUGUCCUCAAGGAAGAUAAUGACGGUACUUGAGGAGGAAGCCCCGGCUAACUACGUGCCAGCCGCCGCAGUAAAAC
rnacentral:rRNA from 1 species